UACGAAGGGGGCUAGCGUUGCUCGGAAUCACUGGGCGUAACGGGUGCGUAGGCGGGUUUUUAAGUCAGAGGUGAAAUCCUGGAGCUCAACUCCAGAACUGCCUUUGAUACUGAAGAUCUUGAGUCCGGGAGAGGUGAGUGGAAUUCCCAGUGUAGCGGUGAAAUGCGUAGAUAUUGGGAGGAACACCAGUGGCGAAGGCGGCUCACUGGACCGGAACUGACGCUGAGGCGCGAAAGCGUGGGGAGCAAACAGG
rnacentral:rRNA from 1 species